CAAAGCCUCCCUACAAACCUGCACAAAUUUUUUAUAAUGCAAAAUGUUAGGUAUCCUAAAUACAGUAGAAAGGGCCUGAGUGAUCAUGCCUCAUGCUGCUUUUUAUGCUUGUUUCUUAACCAACGUUUAUGUGCUCCAAGCAGAAGUGGUCUCCUCCGCCUGCUUCACCUGACAGUAAUGAGUUUGAUUUAUCAGAUUCUGGAGAUCCCACUUGCCUCUCGCACUGUAAAAAACGUCUAAUUUGGUGGUCUCGAUGAAAUGUGCUUUCUGUUUCAUGUUCCCCGGUGAGAUAAGACGGCUAUCAGGGCAGGAAGCCUUCUUGGAAGUCACCGUGGGCUUGGCAUCGCCGCGCAUCAAGGUAGCCAUGGAAACCUGCUCUCAAAGCCGGCGCCGGCUGAUAAGAACCUCAAGUGCCACCGCCUGUGUCCGGCCGGGAGAAGGGAGAAAGAGUGAAAACAAGAGGGCUGAGAGAGCAGAAAAGUACGAGAACUAAGCCACCCCGUAUCACCAUCCUUCUGGCAGGUGCCAUGAUGCUGAGCCCUUCAGAUGAGCACAGCUGGAGUUAGGGAAGGGUGAGGGAGGAAGAAGGAGCAUUUGCUGAAAUGUUUGUCUCCAGGCUGUCUAGCCCCAGGUUCAAAUUUUCUAGUUAAAAAAUAAAAAAUAAACAGCUUUGACA
rnacentral:lncRNA from 1 species